rnacentral:lncRNA from 1 species
GAAAAGAAAUAUUAAGCUAAAAAUAUUAUCUUAUUUCUUGUAAAGAACGAGAGGGUUACAAGCUUAUAUACAAGUGUCAAAGCCAGCCAAAUCUCUUAGAGUAAUGACUAGACAGGCUGUCCUAUUUACAUUAUGGAAUGGAAUCAUUUGUACAUAAGAAAUAUCAAGGAUACUUGCACAAAAUAAAGAUGGUGCCUAGAAUAAGGGAUCGUUGAUGACAAAUCUUCGAGGAUGCUCAUCUUUAUUGUGAUUUUGUUGAGAUAUUUACCGCCAAUAAUAUUUGUGGCCAUGUGGCUGAUUAAUCGUGGGCUGUAGCUACUGAUUGUAUGGUUUAUCACUCAUCUCAUGAUAAUUUCCUUUAGCAUACACCACCGUUUGAAAUAGGCUCUGCCAUGGCAAUCACGACAGAGUUAUCCUUUUUCAAUGUAUGUGAAAAAAAAGAAAAAAGACUAAAAUGAAUGACAAAAGAGUUAAACUUAUUUGCACUUCUAUUCAAUCUACUGGUGUAGCUAGGACUUAAAUCCAGUUAUUUUGGGGACUGUUGUGGACUCGGCUUAGAAUUUAUAGGUAUUUAACCCAAAAUACUAGCAUAUUAGAUGAGAGAUUUAUCCUACUAGCAUGUUAGAUGAGACAUCCUACUUAUAUACCCAAAUAACUUCCUUUAUUAGUAAAUAUGAGACACAACUUAAUAAAAAACAAAUAAAUUUUAAACUUUUAUUAAAAAUAAAAUGAUUUUCUGAAAAAAAAAUAUUAUGAGAAUUCAAUCAUCCUGCUGUACCGUACAUCCGCCUUGGCCGUACAGCAGUGCUAAAAUUUUUAAAUUGUAUUUUUAUUUUUCGAUAUCUUUUCAUCAGUGACAGGGAUGAUAAUGGGGCAUAUAUCAGCUGGAUUUAUUAUGUUCUAAUUCUUGAUUAAUAAUAAAAAUUGAGAUUUAUAUUUAUUCUAAAUUCGUUAUGGGUUUAUGAUUUUUAUUCCAUAUCUAAAUUUAAAUUUAAAAUAAAGGUUCAAAUAUGCUACAAAUCCAUUUUGAAUUUAUUAAUUUUUAUUUUAAAAUUUUAUUGUUAUUACAAAAUAUUAAUAAAUUUAUUUUAUUAAACUUUAAAGCUUGAUAAGAAUAAUAAGAGCACAAAAAUAUUUGAGAAAAAACGUCUUACUAUCAACUAAAACACAUAAUUCAUCUUAAAUAAAAUUAAAAAUAAUACUUUGAAUUUCAUAUAAAUUUGAUAAUAUAUUGCAUCUUAUAAAUGUGGUAUUGAUUUCAGCAAGCUAGGUAUAAAUUUAAUUUGAUUGUAAAAGUAUUAAACAAUCGAUAGUUUAAUACUUUUAAAAAUAAAAUAAAAUUAAAUGAUUUCUAGUUAGAUAUGGAUACGGAUCCGAAUUUUAAGUUAGAUUUGUAUACAUGCUUUAAAUUUAUUUUGAAUUUACUCAUCUAGAUUCAUACGUACCCACUCCAAAUUCAUUUUAUACUGAUCCAAAUAUGAUAAAUUUAUAUUUAGAUUAAGUGGAUCAUGGAUCGAAACCGUCCCAUUAUCGUCGGCUCAGGAUUUUGUUUAUGAUUUGGCAACAAUUGUUUACAUGAUAACCGCAAUUAAAAGGGUAACUUACAAAUUAAAAUAAAUUUAAAAUAAAAUAUCUAGAAUUAUUUUAGAAGACGCAUCAGAAGCUUGCAUUCGAGAGCAUAAUGGAAAGUGGAAACUCAACCACCAUCAUUAUUCAAAUAGAUAACAUUAAAAAUUUUGUCCAAAAGGACAUUGACAUGGAAUUUGUCGAAAAGCUAUGAUUCUUUCAUUGCCUGGCUUAUUUUAUACUCAUGCUUCUUUUACUAGAUCUCUUCUUUUUCAUUUUUUUUAAAGUUUUUGUGUGUCAAGUAGUUCUACCUUUUAUUUGUUCGCUUUUUUUUACCUUGCUUGUUUUGGUCUCAUUGUUUGUUUGAACAAGUGAGUUUUGUUAUUUGAAAAAAAUUAAAUUAAUAGGUAUCAUAUAUUAAAAUAGAAGGUAUAUUUGUUGCAAAACAUAAAGAAAAUUUAAAAUUUAGAAAUCUAAAGUUACAUACCAUUCCAUACUUGUUAAUCAAAUUUGUGAAGAUUGCUAAUGAUUAUUGCAAUAGUAUCCACAAAAAAGAUUUUUAUUUUUGUAAUUUUAUCAUUUUAUGAGAGAUAAGAUUGAAGGACAAUUGUGGAAUAAAGAUGGUUGUUUUUAGAAGUGAUAUAAUUUUUCAUUUAUUUGAUUGGGUGUAUUUAAAAAGGGGUCUUAAAAAGAUUUUGAAGGAGUGCUAGUAGUUCCAUUCUUUAUCAAAUUAGCCUUAAAAGUAGCAUUAAAAGUUUGACAGUAAAAUUUUUUUUAUGUUAUUAUUUUACUUUUAGGAUUAAUUUGGUAAAUUAAUUUUUUAUAAAAUAACUAUUAAUAAAAUUAUUGCAAGGAUGAUAAACAUUACUUUAAGUUGACUAAUAUUAAUUUUUAUUUAUAAAGAAAUUAUUAGCACGAUUGUCGCACAUGUACAAACAAUACUAGUUCUUUUAUACUAAUAUUUAUUGGUUAAUUUAUUACAAAAUAAUUAUUGGUUAAUUUUCUAAUUAAACUUUUAUAGAUAAAUUAAUUAAUGUCAAGAAUAUUAUUAUAAGGGCAUUAUUAUAAAAGCAAAGCAAAAGUAAGAUUAAGAAUGUAAUAUAUUCAACUACAACUUAUUUUGAGAUAUUUUCAAAAUAUAAGGAAUAAAUAAACACUUAAGUUAAAAUAGAGGACUAAAGGGGUAUUUGUUCAUUUAUUUAAAUCAUUUUCCAGAUGACAUGCAAUUUUUUGGUUGAGUGAGAUGUGAUCCAUUCACGCAUCUACCAAUACUAUAUGUGACUCAUGCUCUUUUACAUCUGGAGGCCGAAUCAUCAGGAUUUCAGCGAAUUGAAGUGGCUGAUGUGAGAUGAUAAAGGGGGGAAAAUGGAAAAUUUAAGUUUAUCUAUCAUAAUUUUCAUUUUAAUAUCACAUGAUUAAAUGGAAUAUCUUAUUAGUGCAGUCAUAGAUUUUUUUUUCAUAUGUAUUUGAAUUAAGAUUCUAUCAUGAUAUGAACUUAUUUAAAUAAAAUUCAUCGUGAAUAAUUAGUGAUUAAUAAAUAAAAAUAUAACAAUAGUUAAAUUUAAUUAUAUACCAUCAUGGCGUUCAAGUACAUACCUUUUUCUGCAAAUGUGAAUCAAUUUUUUUUUUUUCAAUUUCGAAAUAUUUAGAAUCAGAUCUACUUCUGAGCUUUAAAACCAUGAUCUAUUUAUAUUCUUGAAAAAAAAAAAAGAUAUCAUGUGAUCAUAAGAAAAUAAAACUAGUUAAUAUAAUAAUUGAAUAUUAUACAAUAUAUGGUAUUGACAUCAAAGUGUUUAGUAAGUAGUAGUUGUUGUAACUCAAAAAUUAAGUUGAUUUGAUCUUGCAUUUGUAUAAUAAAAAAUCUAUUUUUGUUUGGCUGGUAAUAAUAAUUUAAAUAAUAUUUCUUUGCUAAACUGAGGAAAAGUGGCGUGGAAAGGUUCCCAAUUCUCCCAUGUAGCUUCAUCAUGUGUGGUGUUAGACCACUGCACUAAGACUUGCUUGACCUUUUGCUUAUUUUUCUUAACAGUUCGCUGGUCUAAAAUGCAUAGAGGUAUGGAAUAAGAUUAUGCAGUUAGUGGUGGGUGGGCGGGAAUAGCUUCAGCAGGGUUUGGACAUAGCUUGAGGAUUGAAAUGUGGAACAUGAGAUGGAUACGAGAUUCAAGUAGUAACAAUAAGCGAUAUGCAAUUUUUCCAACUCUUGCAGUUAUUUGGUAAGGACCAUAAUACUUCUUGGCAAGCUUGUUACUUAGACGGUGAGCAAGAGAAGAUUGUCGAUAAGGUUGAACCUUAACAUAAACCCAGUUACCAACCUCAAACUCCUUAUCGCGACGAUGACGAUUUGCUUGGGUGCACAUUCUUUCCUGUGCUCUCUGAAGGUUAAGCUUCAUAGUAGCCAAUAGAGCUUCUCUAUCCAACAAUGCAGAGUUUAAAGAAUCAAUAGGGGUGUCUUCGCUGGAGUAUCCUACAAGAAGUGGUGGGGGCCUGCCAUAAACAACUUGGAAUGGUGAAAACCUUGUAGAACUGUGUGUACUGGUAUUCUACCAAUAUUCUGCCCAUGGUAAAGCUGCAGACCAUCUAUUUGGAUAGUCUCAAGUAAAUGCUCGCAAGUAUGUCUCGAGACAACGGUUGACCACUUCCGUUUGCCCGUCAAUUUGCGGGUGAUAAGCAGUGGCCGUAACUCCGUUCCCUGUAAUUUAAAUACUUCUCGCCAAAAUUCACUAAUGAACAGAGGGUCACGAUCAGUAACAAUUGAUUUAGGAAAUCCAUGAAGUCGAACAUACUCGCGAACAAAAUAUUUAGCCAAUUACGGUGCAGUAACUCCCUCAGGCAAGGCACAGAAAUGACCAUACCUGGACAAUCUAUCAACAAUGACCCAAAUAACUGUCUUACCAUUUGAUUGUGGUAAAGAAGUAAUGAAAUCCAUGGAAAUGUCUUCCUAGACUCUUGAUGAUAUGGGCAGUGGUUGUAAAAGCCCUUUGGAACAAAAGUUUUCUGGUUUGGUUUGCUAACAAAUUAGACAUUCUCGGACAUGUUGCUGUACAUCUUAACACAUUUGCGGCCAAUAAAAAUUGGCUGAUAAUCGAGCAUAAGUCUUCUGUUCCCUAGAAUGCCCACCAAUCGCCGAGCCAUGGAAUAGAUUCAGAAGGUGUUUUCUGAGCUCCAUACUGUUGGGAACAAAAAUUCUACCCUGAUGGUAAAGUAAGCUUUGUUGAAUAGAAAAAUUAUUAUCUGUGCAAGCACCUUUCUCAAUUAACUGAAGAAUUUAUUGGGUCGUGUCAUCUAAAGCAAGGGAUCUCGAAUUUCAGUUAAGAAAGUGCUAGUAGUAACUGAAAUUGACAUCAAAUUACCUUGUGCUUCACUUGUCCAUCGUGAAAGAGAAUCGGGUCCACUGUUUUCCACUCCAGCCUUAUGCUCAAUUGUAAAUUCAAACCCUAACAGCUUUGUCAACCAAGUUUGCUGCUCUGGUGUCUGUUAGUUUGUGUAAGGAGUUGCUUGGGGCUUUUAUGAUCAGUGAAUAUGGUAAAGGGUCGGCCCAAGAGAUAUGGAUGCCAUCGUCGAACUGCUGCCGUGAUUGCAUACAUCUCACGACUAUAUGCAGAUGCAGAUUGAAGUCUUGGUGGCAACUUCUUACUGAAAUAAGCAAUUGGAUGUCGAUUUUGGGAGAGAAUCACACCCACAGCGAGACCAGAGGCAUCUGUUUCCACUGCAAAGGCUUUGGAAAAAUCUGGUAAGGCUAAGACAUAAACUUCAGUCAGAGCGCGUUUGAGACGCUCAAAAGGUAAGUCAGCAGCUUCACCCCAGUCAAAUCCGUCCUUCUUAAGCAAAUCAGUUAAUGGGCUUGUAAUUUGGGCAUACCCCUUUACAAAACGUUGGUAAUAUCCUGUGAGUACAAGGAAACCCCUCACAACAGCAAUUGUUUUUGGUUUAGGCCAAUUUAAGACAGCUUGAAUUUUGGUGGGAUCAACACUCACUCCUUGGGCUGAAACAAAAUGGCUGAGAUACUCUAAUUUAGCUUGGCCGAAACUGCACUUGGACAACUUAGCAUACAAUUGGUUUUGGUGGAGCAGCUAUAGAACAAUUUUGAGAUGAUAAAUGUGUUCUUCAUGGGAUCAACUGUAAACAAUAAUGUCGUAAAAAAAAACUAGAAUGAACUUACUAAGAUAAGGUUUGAAAAUAGAGUUCAUUGUGGCUUGAAAUAUGGAGGUGGCAAUGGACAACCCAAAGGGCAUUACAAAAAACUCGUAAUGACCUUCAUAUGUUCGAAAUGUGGUUUUCGGAAUGUCGGAUGGGUGGAUCCGAAUUUGAAAAUACCCACUCCGUAAAUCAAUCUUUGAAAAAAUGAUGGCCCCAUGUAAUUUAUCUAGUAAUUCAUCUACUGUAGGUAUCGGAAAUCGAUCCUUGAUAGUGAUGGCAUUUAGAGCUCUAUAAUCGACACAAAAUUGCCAUGUCCCAUCUUUUUUGCGAACCAAGAGGACGAGUGAGGAGAAUGAGUUGGUGGAAGGUUUUAUAAUUUGAUCUUGAAGCAUUUCUUGAACUUGCCUCUCGAUUUCAUCUUUUUGGUAAUAAGGGUAGUGGUAUGGUUUAACAUUCACAGUAGUAGAUUCUGGGAGAAUAGUGAUUUUGUAGUUGAGGGGUCUAUUUGGUGGAAGGCCUUUUGGGAUGCUAAAUACAACUGAAUAUUGGUUUAGUAGUGUUAGGAAAUCUUGGUGAAGGGUGGAAUCUAUGGACUGGUGAAUAUUCUGGGUUGAAGAUGGAUUGGCUGGUUGGAGUUCUAAACGGAAGUACUGAGCUAUUGAGGUAGUCUGAUGUAGUCUUUUGAGUUAGUGAAAGGAUAUAGGAGUGGGGUUGGGCCGAAUAUUUUGAGCUCCUUCAAGUUUAAUAAGCUGCCUUUUAUAUGUAAAUUCCAUAGUUAGGGCUUUGUGAUCAGUGAUAAUUUUCCCCAACUUCUCCAGCCAUUGUACCCCCAAAACAACAUCAGCUCCAGAAAAAUCUAGUAUAUGAAAGUCAGCUUCAAAUUCAACACCCUGCAUCUCGAAUUUAACUUUCGAACAGUGACCUUCGCUGCGAAUCCGUUCCCUAUUGACGACAGCUACCAAAAACCUCAUUGUCUUCUUAAUAGCCAAAUGAAGGAAGUGAGCCAACCGUGGGUGAAGAUAAUUAUGUGUACUCCUAGUGUCAACCACUACUGAUAAAGGUUGAUUGUUAAUUUUUGCACUGAGUCUGAAGGUCUGGGGACCAGUUGUUCCAAUCAAAGCAUGAAAAGAAAUUUCGGGGCUUGGAUUCGCUGCUUCUUCUUUAGGCACCGUAUCCUCCACCAAUAUUUCUUCUUCUUGAAAACUUUCUAAUGGUUCCUCUGUCAACAAUAACAUAUAAGGGCGAGUGCGACAACGAUGAACCGGCUUGAAUCAUUCAUCGCAAUUGAAGCACAAGCCUUGAGCACGACGUGUUUGCAUCUCGGCGGCCGUGAGAUGAUGAGUAGGAAUGGCGGUCUUUGGUGGUUUUGAUGGAUUUGGUGGUAGAAGGGGUAAAAGUGGAGGCCGUGGGUCUGGCCGUAUAUUUGUUUCAUUGCGGGUAUAUAUGGGUAUUGGUGUAUUGGUUGGUUUCCAUGAAAUGGAUUUUUGGUUAUAAGAUUGCAAUUUAUCUUCAAUCAAUUUGGCUAAAGCAAUUGCAUCAGGAAGGUUAGAAGGUUUAUGAAUAGCUAACUCAUUUUGAAUGGUUGGUUUUAAACCUGAGAUAAAGCAAUCUAAAAUGGCAUCUGGGUGAAGGUUGGUGACUUUGUUACAGAUGUUUUCAAUGGCUGAUUGGUAAGCCUCUACAGAACUUGUUUGGGUAAGUUUGAAUAAAGUGGCUCGGUGAUUAAUAUAUGAGGAAGGGCUAAACCUGCUUUCAAUAACUCGGGUGAGAGCUGCCCAGGAAGAUAAUUGUUGAUUCUUGUGCAUCCAUUGGAACCAAGAGAGUGCUUGGCUAGUCAUAUAGAAAUUGGCGAUAUCAAUCCGUUGUUCCUCUGGGGUUUCAUAGAAAGAAAAGUAUUUUUCAGCUUGAAAUAUCCAAUCUAAGGGGUUAGAUCCAUCAAAUGUUGAUAGAUCACAUCGUAUAGAUCUUGUGCUUUGUGUGGGUUGUAGUUGAGCUUGUACAAGUUGUGUAUUUUGUGGUGCAGAGGCUGGUAGGAUUGUGGAGGACCCAAUUUGAGAGGGUGCCAUCAUGGUAACUCUGGCAGCAAGCUCUGCUAUAGAGUUUUGUAGGGCUUGUUGUGCACCUUGUAGGUUUUGUUGUGAACUUUGGUUAAUUUGUUGCUGUUGUAUUAUGAUUUGGCGUAGGUCUUCAUGGGAUUUUUGGGUCGAUUCUUUGAGUUGUGUGACCUGUUCUUCAAGGGCUCGAUAUCGUGUUUGCAUACCCUCGUUUGUCAUCUCUCAAUGAAAGCACCAAAUGAUGGGCAUGACUGAUAGCAGCAGCAAGUUCUGGAAUUUAAGUUUCCACUUUAGAGGGUGGAGUCCUCCAGAAUUGGAAAGAGUAAAGAGUAGAGACUAGAGAAAAUAAAGGAACAGAGGAAUUGUAUUUUGGAUUUUAAGGAGCUUCCCUUUUCUUGUUCAUUCAUUUUCUUAAAUUCUCAUUCAAGAGACCUACAGACAAAUUCUAGAAACGGCUAAAAAAUAUUCUCUCUAAUAAACUUGACAGCACAGAAAAACAGAAUUGCAAUAAUAAGUAAAUAACAAAUUCAGCACAAUAUCUUAAGAAUAUCUAAGUGCUGUAAUCGGUGCACCAUCAUUCCCGCACAAAAUCUUGAAGCUUGAAGGGAAUUUUGGGUUGUCUCUUAGGCCUAGCUUGAGCAACCGGCUGUGCAAUGGUUGUAUCACCUAGAAACCUAACCGAAUGGUUUCAAAUAAUCUUAGUUAGCUAGCCACCUAAGUUCGAAUCUUAGAGAGAUCAGGGUGAAAAAAUUAAUUUUGAUUGACCCAACCCUCUUACCAUCUAAGCAUGUCGUUGUAAAUAAAAAUUUAAAUACAAACUUAAUUAGCUAUAUAUACGAGAUUAAUGGAUAGAAUAUUUAUGUAAAAAUCAUUAUUUUAACAUAGUUUAUCCCUUUAUAAAUUAUAACUUGUAAAUAAUCUAUCAUAAGAUUGUUUAAGAGAGAGAGGAAAAAAAAAUUAAAGACGCAUGACAUAAUUUUAUUGAAUGGGUUAUUUCAGCACUUAUUACAUUACUUUAAACAGCGCUUUUGACAACACACAAACAAGGAAAGCAUUAUUGCACGUGUGUGGCUACUCUUCUGGAUCAUUAAAUAUGGUAAGAGACUCCAUCCUGCGCCUGAUUGCAAGCAUGAUCAUCUAUUUAAUUAUGAUAAAUUGUAGCAUCUGGCUGCGGAUCCGUACUACUAAUAACCUAUUUUUGUUGGGUCGGUUCAUGAAUUGAAAUAUCAGCCUUCAGCUCAAAGUCCUUGGCAUAUGAACUCUUCUUCGAUGGUUUAAUAUCAUUGUCAUAAAUUGAAACAUCAGGCAUGAGCUCGAAGCCUUUGGCGAAUGCCUUUGUUUGGCUAGCUUUACACCAUUGUUAUAAAUUGAAACAUCAGGCAUGAGUUCGAAGUCCUUGGCAGAGAACCUUUGUUUGGGUAGCUUUACACCAUUGUCAUAAAUAGAAACAUCAGGCAUGAGCUCGAAGUCCUUGGCGAAGAACUUUUGUUCGGUUGGCUUAAUGCCGUUGUCGUAAAUUGAAACAUCAGGCAUGAACUCGAAGUUCUUGGCGAAGGAUCUCUGCUUAUCUUUUGGUUUAAUGCCGUUGUCAUAAAUUGAAACAUCAGGCAUGAGCUCGAGGUCCUUGACAAAAGCCUUUUGUUUCGUCGUCUUAAUGCCGUUGUCAUAGAUUGAAACAUCAGGCAUCAGCUCUAAGUUCUUAUUGACAAAAGGCUUCUCCAUGGUGUGCUCAGAAUCUUCAUGUGUACGGCAAUAGGCUGUGGUUUUAGAGAUGGUCGAGGCUUGAUCUUCAGGAAUGAGACCUUGAGUUGAUUCCCCAGGCAUGUCUUCAUUUUUCACGACAAUUCUCCAAUAAUCUCUCAGGUCUUUUCUCGCAUCUAUCAUGUUGGCAAACUGCACACAAGGAAAACAAUUAAGAGGGGGAAAAAAAAGAGAGAGAGGAACUAUAUAUUGACCAUGCAAAUGAUAAAAAUUCGAAAAUCAUUUGAAUCAAAACGCGUAAUGCUAGAGCUAGCUAUAAUUAAGCUACUCUUAGAGCUGAUGUGAUAAAAUAGUAUUGGUAGAAUGAAAAUACAAAAUAAUGAUCGGGUUGUGUGGUGUUCUCAUCACAUUGAUACUUUACAUUAUGUGUUAUCAAUUUUGUACAAAAUAUUUUAUAUAAUGAAUAUGUGAUUAACCUAACAUUAUUACUGAUCAAAUGAUACAUACCAAGAGAAGCAAUGAGAGCAGUGUGGAGAGAACAAAGAAGGCUUUAAUAUUCAUGUUUCUGGCCAGUGACAAACAAUAUUAGAUACUGCGUUUGUAAUUUGCAUGGAGGCCAUACUGGUGUGUGUGUGUGUGUAUACACAGAUUGGAAGAAGUGGUAACAUGCUGUGGAAGGUUGGUGGAGCAUGCUCAUGUGGGUGAUUAAUCAUGGACCGCAAAGUCUAUGAGAAUUACAAUUCGCAACGAUAGAGAUGGCCCCUAAUUAUUUUAUUUUCAAAGUAAAAAAUUCUUCAAAAAUGAUAAGAUUUUACAUCUAUAGGAAUAUUCUCAAUCCAAACAAUACGGCUUUCUGAUCGCUAACUGCAAGUUUAGCUAAUCUAUGAACUUCCACGUUACAUAUUCUAGGAAUGAAUACAAAUUUGAAAUUGCCAGUUGUCUACCCAACAAUUAAAUAUCAGAGAUCACUCAAAGACGCGUUAAUUAAAUAUCAGAGAUCUCUUUUCUAGUACUUUCAAGUGCUGCAGCAAGAUUGAUAACAUUCUGAGUAUCUGAUUCAAUAAUUAAUGGAAAUAGACCCGUGCCGUUUGCAUAUUUCGAUCCCAAAUGUCAUUGCUUCUGCUUGAACGAAUUCAAUAUCUCCAAAAUUUUACUUUAGAUAGCUACUGCCAUAAUUAAUCUCCCCUCUCACAUUACGACUAAUGGCUCCUAGAAAAGCUGUGUUCCUCGAAAUAGCAGUAGCUGCAUCAACGUUCAACUUAAUUAUUAGUACACUGAAAUGAGAUAUAUCAGCUUAAUUUAGAUAAAAUUAAUUGCAGACAAGCGAUAGCAAUAAUGCAUUGAAUAUAUUGCAAUAACAAUUGUCUAUAAUUGAUAUUAUCUUCAGGUGUCUUCAAUUGUUAUUGUAGACUACGUAUAUCGAACAAUAAUGCAUUCUGUUCUAGUCUGAUUCCAUUACAUAAACAAUUCUUACAAGAAUUAAUUGCCAAUAAUGCUUCUUUGCUCAAGUUUAUAUAUAUCAAAGUUUAAAGUUUGUGGCAAAAAAAAAAAAAAAAAAACCGGUAGGGAAAGAAGCAGCAGUUUGGUUAGCUAGAAAGCGGCACACUUGAAUUUCAGGGUUUUACUUAGCCUAGAAAAUUAUUGGUUUUAAUGUUUAAUAAGGAAAGUAUAAAGUAAAUUAAAUCCUAGCUUUAGAAAAAUAUAAUGACAUGAGCUAAAUAAUCUCAUUCAACACUUAUGAGAUAUUAAGUUAGGAGCAGAUCCUAAUCUCUGGUGAUGAAGAUUAUUCCUACAAUAUUAUAUGAAAUAUUAAGUUAGGGGAAGAUCUAAAUUCAUAUGGUAAUAGAGAGUGUUGGUGUAAUAUGAUAUGUAUUUAAGUAACAAACCUUUUCAAGAGGAUUUAAUCUUUUGUGAAGAGGAUAAGAAGUUAGCCAUUUCCUACAAUUAUUGGUCCUUUUUUUUAAAAAAAAAAAAAUUCCGGCUGAAAUUUAUGAAUUUACCUUUCAUUUUCUUAUUGACUACUUUUUUAGACCAGCUAAUGAUAUAAUAUUUUCGUGGUAUCUUUAAUUAAUCAGCUAAUGAAUUCGUGAUAUAUCAUCAAUGACUCACUAAUAAUGUACAUGUGUAGAUGUGAUUAUUAUAUGUUUACUUUUUAAUUUUUGGAUCAUUUUCAAGAUUGAGCUAGCACCAAAUUCAUAAUAAUAUUGAAUUCAUUAAGAAGUUAGCCUUUUGCUUUUGCCACUUUUUGAAUUUGGCAUGAUUAUCAGGAUUCUGCAGCAGAAGACAAGUCGACAAGGUCUUAUCAACUUGAAUUCCUCUUGCAAAAUUAAAACUUCUUCGUCAGACAUAUGAACAAAAAUAACUAAAUUAUGAAAAAGACAAAACAUUGGGCAACAAUUUUUGACCGAUCCUAUAUGAAUCAUCUGUUGUUGUAGUGAUGGAAAAUGACAACAUAAUUAAAUAAUAGAAGUUCAACCACUACCAAUAUCCAUUUAUAUAAUAAACAAUAUUGAAAAAGAUUUUGAUUAAGGGGAUGUGUGCUAGUGGCUAGUGAUGAGAAGAAAAUCGACCUGCAAUCACACGUCUCUUUCAUUUGUCUAGCAUUUGAAACUCGUGCCCUUUUGAUUUUCGGUUUCUGCAUUAUCAUGUCCACGUAUAUUAUCCUUUAACCUUUUGUUCUUGACCCAUUGUAAGACAAUUAGAUGUACAUUUUUUUUUUAGGGAAAAGGAUAAACACACCCCUAACAUUUAGGUAAAGGGAUAAAAAGUUUUUUAAUGUUUUAAAAAAGACAUUUACACUCUAAUUUGUUAUAAUUUUACCAUUAUACCCUUCUAACAUAUAAAAAAAAUUAUUAGAUUAUUCAAUUUAUCUAUAUAUUGUUAAUAAAAUUAUAAAUAGACAAAUUGGAUAUUAUAAAAAAAAAUUAUAAAUAUACCCUCAUUGCCCAAUUCCUCUAUUUAAAUUUUUAUCAAUAACCAAUUUUCAAAAAAGACAUCUAUACACCUAAAAAAAUUGUAAAUAAAUUAUAAAUUUAAAAAUAAAAUUAGUUAUUAAUAACCAAUUUUAUUUAAACUUUAAACUUGUAUAUUUAACAAUUCUCCACAUGUCAAUCAUUUAAACUUGUACAUUUAUAACCAAUUUUCUAUGUUAUUUAUUAUGGUAUUAAUAACCAAUUUUAAUUUUAAAAUUAUAAUUUAUUUAUAAUUUUUUUUAAGUGUGUAGAUGUCUUUUUUGAAAAUUGGUUAUUAAUAAAAAUUUAAAUAGAGGAAUGAGGCAAUGAGGGUAUAUUUAUAAUUUUAUUAACAAUAUAUAGACAAAUAGGAUAAUCUAAUAAUUUGUUUUUUAUAUGCUAGAAGGGUAUAAUGAUAAAAUUAUAAUAAAUUGGGGUGUAAAUGUCUUUUUUGAAACAUUAGGGGGGUUUUUGUCCAUUUGCCUAAACGUUGGGGGUGUGUUUGUCCUGUUUCCUUUUUUUUAUUAAUAAAAUUUUGUUUCAACUUAUCCAGGUUCCACUGGAGAAUAUAAUUAAACUUCAAAUGAAAGAUGUUUGAAGUGAAAAUUGCGUUUAAAACAUUUUUUAUAUGACUUAUUAUUUGUUAUAUUUUUAAAGAUUGGGAGUGAGAAAAAUUCAGAUGAAUUUUUUAGUCUUUUUUUAAUUCGAAUUUAAAUAAUUAAUUAAUAAAAACUACUUAAAAAUCAUUCAGUAAAAUCCUACAGAUACUUAUUACCUUAUCUUUUAGUUGAAAUAGUGUGAUCCAUGGAAAUACAGUGAGUGCAACUUGUUAAUUUGACCGAAAAGUUUUUUAAAGAUUGUACGGGAGACUGGAGCCACGACGUUCACAUAUCCGACGCACACUAGGUUGAGAAGAGCUUUAGUGUACAUUACGUGACUCAAAGAUAUAAUUAUCCCAUUUUCGAAUGAAAAAAAUGCUAUUCAUCCUUGGAAACUACCAUGUCGAAUUUAAUUACGAUCUGCCUUCCCACUUUUUCUGCUCAGUUCUGUCUAUGUAUGGGGAAUAUUGAUACAGAUUUCGAGUCUGUAAUUAAUGUGUCAAAGAGAGUUUCCAAAUUGCAAGUAAAUUUUUUAAUAAGAAAUCAAUUUUAGGUCUAGUAAAUCUAAUAUGCAAUGUUAUUAAUUGAAGUAAUCAUUCACUCAGUCAAAACUAUUAAAAUCCCCAGACAUGAUGAAGGUGCAAUACGUGUGUCCCCAUAUGAUUGGAGUGCUGAAUUCUUUGCUGGAUUGGACUAUUAAGGUCAUUAUUCAAACUGUGUUGUGAUUCAAUUAAUCAGCACAGUAGAACAAGUUCAGCUUAUGCAGGCUAUAAAUUUCCACUUGAAAAUCAACACACAUCAUUUGGUUGUUGACAUAUACAGUCACACAAUCUCUUCUCUUUCUGCUUCACUUGUUAUCUGUGUUUCCUCUCCCUGAAAAAAAAAAACAUUACUAAAAUACGUAAGAAACUUCGAUAAUAGAAAAGAGAUGGGGUUAAGAUUUUCAGCUUGGAACCUCCUUCUUUCUCUACUCUUUCUGGUAAUAAUCCUCAAUGUGUGCUAAUGAAGUGGCUUACUUUGCAAUACAUGUACAUAAGUGUUGUCUUAAAGCAAUAACUCAAAAAGAUAUAUUUUGCUCCUUCAGUUUUACACUUUAUAGAACUUGUGUUGUUGAUUUUUCAUCUAUGUUGUGAUAUUGAAUUGCUCAACUGUUUUACAGUGUGCUCAGGUGCUUUCGGAGAAUCUUCAUGAUUCUCAUUCAAUACCAUCCCACAUGAAUCACAUGGACCCUUCAACGAUGGUGUUCUUCACCUUGAAGGAUCUAAAGAUUGGCGAAACGAUGCCGAUUUAUUUUCGCAAGAGAGAUCCUUCAGCUUAUCCUCAGGCUUUGCCUAGAGAAGAAGCAGAUUCCAUUCCAUUUUCAUUGAAACAACUGCCUUACCUUCUUCAAUUCUUCUCGUUCUCAGAUGACUCACCCCUAGCCAAAGCCAUGGAAGGGACCCUGAAUCAUUGCGAAGUUCCUCCCAUCGAAGGAGAAACCAAAAUUUGUGCUACCUCUUUGGAAUCCAUGCUUGAUUUUGUACACGGAACUUUCGGAUUGGAGACCAAAUUCCGAGUUCUAAGCACAAAAUUUCUCACAAAAUCAGCUACCAUUUUCCAAAAUUACACUAUUUUACAAGUGCCUAAACCAAUGGUUGCUCCCAAGAUGGUGGCAUGUCAUAUCAUGCCUUACCCUUAUGCAAUCUUCUACUGCCACAGCCAAAUGACUGAGAACAAGUUAUUCGGUGUUUCAUUAGGUGGUGAUAAUGGAGAUAGAGUGGAAGCUGUAGCAGUUUGCCACAUGGAUACGUCUCAUUGGAGUCGAGAUCAUGCAUCGUUUCGUGUGCUUGGGAUCGAGCCAGGGAGCUCCCAUGUCUGCCAUUUCUUCCAGGCUGAUAAUAUUGUAUACAUUCCAGCACCUACCUACCAUGAUUAAAAAUGUAUUGGUAAUGUGACUGUUAAAGCCAUAUGUAUAGCGUAUAAUAAUAAAUCUUACUGGUAAUAAAUGAUUUUCGAUUUCUGAACGUUGUUCAAUUGGUUGUAUUUCGGAGUUGAUUGGAAACAAUAUUGUUUCAGUAGAUUUGCCAACCCAAUAGACUAUCUCUCUUUUCAUUUCUUUGAUCUCACUGAAAAGAAAUAUUAAGCUGAAAAUAUUAUCUUAUUUCUUGUAAAGAACGAGAGGGUUACAAGCUUAUAUACAAGUGUCAAAGCCAGCCAAAUCUCUUAGAGUAAUGGCUAGACAGGCUGUCCUAUUUACAUUAAGGAAUGGAAUCGAGGAUGCUCAUCUUUAUUGUGAUUUUGUUGAGAUAUUUGCCGCCAAUAAUAUUUGUGGCCAUGUGGCUGAUUAAUCGAGGGCUGUAGCUACUGAUUGUAUGGUUUAUCACUCAUCUCAUGAUAAUUUCCUUUAGCAUGCACGACCGUUUGAAAUAGGCUCUGCCAUGGCAAUCACGACAGAGUUAUCCUUUUUCAAUGUAUG